GAGGAAAAGAAACUAACAAGGAUUCCCCUAGUAACGGCGAGUGAAGCGGGAAGAGCUCAAAUUUUAAAUCUCCGAGGUUUCCUUGGCGAGUUGUAAUUUGAAGAGAGUGUUUUGACACUCGGGUUUAAUCCAAAUCCUUUGGGAUAAGGUAUCAUAGAGGGUGAGAAUCCCGUUUAUGAUUGAAUCUCGUGUGUCGCUCAACUCACUUUCCAAGAGUCGAGUUGUUUGGGAUUGCAGCUCAAAACGGGUGGUAAAUUUCACCUAAGGCUAAAUAUGUGCAAGAGACCGAUAGCGAACAAGUACCGUGAGGGAAAGAUGAAAAGAACUUUGAAAAGAGAGUUAAAUAGUACGUGAAAUUGUUAAAGGGAAACGAUUGAAGUCAGUCAUGCUAGUGAGGAAUCAACCUGAUGGUGUGUGGGUUCUCCCUCGUACUUUCUGGUGCACUUUCUCACCCGGCAGGUUAGCAUCAAUUUCGGUUAUCAUAAAAAAUUUGAGAGAAUGUGGCUUUUCUUCGGAAAAGUGUUAUAGAUCUUGAUCUAUGUGGUGACCGGGAUUGAGGAUUGCAGUGGAUACCCUCGUGGCUCGUCACCUGGCUUCUGACAGUUACCCCGCCUUCGAUAGCUCGCUAACAUCGGUGGGACUCGAUCGUCUAGAUGUCAGAGUGAUUGAUUUUCGCUAAGGAUGCUGACGUAAUGGCUUUAAACGAC
rnacentral:rRNA from 1 species